AUUGCUUGCAAUCCGCUGACGACCGGCGCACGGGUGCGUAACGCGUAUGCAACCUACCUUUUACAGGGGGAUAGUCAAGAGAAAUUUUGAAUAAUACCCCAUACGAUCUGAUUCACUCCUGUGAAACAGAAGAAAAUUACGAUGGUAAAAGAUGGGCAUGCGUCCUAUUAGUUUGUUGGUAAGGUAACGGCUUACCAAGACUACGAUAGGUAGGGGUCCUGAGAGGGAGAUCCCCCACACUGGUACUGAGACACGGACCAGACUCCUACGGGAGGCAGCAGUGAGGAAUAUUGGACAAUGGAGGCAACUCUGAUCCAGCCAUGCCGCGUGCAGGAAGACGGCCCUAUGGGUUGUAAACUGCUUUUAUACAGAAAGAAACGUUAGUACGUGUACUAACCUGACGGUACUGUAAGAAUAAGGAUCGGCUAACUCCGUGCCAGCAGCCGCGGUAAUACGGAGGAUCCAAGCGUUAUCCGGAAUCAUUGGGUUUAAAGGGUCCGCAGGCGGUCUGAUAAGUCAGAGGUGAAAUCCUAUCGCUCAACGAUAGAACUGCCUUUGAUACUGUUAGACUUGAGUUAUUGUGAAGUAGUUAGAAUGUGUAGUGUAGCGGUGAAAUGCAUAGAUAUUACACAGAAUACCGAUUGCGAAGGCAGAUUACUAACAAUACACUGACGCUCAGGACGAAAGCGUGGGUAGCGAACAGGAUUAGAUACCCUGGUAGUCCACGCCGUAAACGAUGGUCACUAGCUGUUUGAUGCACAUUGGUGUGUUGAGUGGCUAAGCGAAAGUGAUAAGUGACCCACCUGGGGAGUACGCUCGCAAGAGUGAAACUC
rnacentral:rRNA from 1 species